UGCGGUGAAUACUAAUGUCUAUCGAUGUCUAAGUAUAAGUCCAAGAGUAAGUCCUAGAGUGAGUUUAACUUUAGUGUCUGUAUAUAUAUAUAUAUAUAUUUGUCAUGGAAGAUUCUAGAACAGUCUAUAAUGGAACAUCCUAGAAAGUUACAACAGAAGUUUCUAGUAAAAUGUAGAAGUUUAUAUAAUGCAUCUUUUAUUAGGAUCAUUCUGGAAAGUUCCAAUCAUUCUGUAUUUGUUCCAGAGAUUUCUAAACUGCACAAUUCUAAAAUUAUUCUGUAAACAACUAUCAGGCCACACAAUACAAAUCAGGCCAACAUAAAUAAAUACAAUA
rnacentral:lncRNA from 1 species